UACAGAGGGUGCGAGCGUUGUUCGGAAUCACUGGGCGUAAAGCGCGCGCAGGCGGGACUUGCAAGUCGGGAGUGAAAGGCCGGGGCUCAACCCCGGAGCUGCUUUCGAGACUGCGGACCUGGAGACCAGUAGGGGUUGGUGAAUUCCCGGUGUAGCGGUGGAAUGCGCAGAGAUCAGGAGGAAUACCGAAGGCGAAGGCAGUCUUCCAAGCCGUUAUUGACGCUCAACUGCGAAGGUGUGGGUAUCAAACAGGAUUAGAUACCCCUGUAGU
rnacentral:rRNA from 1 species